rnacentral:lncRNA from 1 species
AUGAAGGGGGACAGGAAGCAGAAGAGUUUGGGACAGGAGAGUCAGGGCAAGCAGGAAUUGACCCAGGAGAUACGAUUCAUUCAAUGGGCCAAGGUAGCUGGGGGAGGGGAGAAGAGUUCAGACUUACCUAACAAGACGGUUAAGGAGAAAAUCUGGGAAUGGCAGGGUGGUCGGAACUCUUCUCUUCACCUCACCAAGACGGCCCACCGGCUCUUCUCAGGCACCUCGGAGGAGAAUCGGCCAAGCACGGUUACUCCGCAGACGUAUUGGCGCUUAAUGACGGAUUGUGGGAAACAGAAGGAUUUCUGUGGGGGAGGAGCUUCUCCACACUAUCUAAUGAAGGCAAACUACAUAUUGUGGGAGGAGCCACCGCACAGUGCCAAACUCAGGACUGGCAUCUAUUUAUUCCCCCCCUUUCUCCAGGCUCCAUGAACCUGGAACCCCCAAGGAUUCUGCAUUUGUUUGGCACCCAGAAUGACUGCAGAAUUCUGCAGAGAGCAACUGUUUGGUAGGUAUCCUCCACUUGAACCGUUCAGCAUGUGAAAACCAAAUAAUUUCCCUCCAAGUUUUCAGGCCUGCAAUCUCUUUUAAAAUCCCUUUUGAAUUAAAUGUGCGUUUUAAAGUGUGAUUCCUACACUCCAUCUCCAUGGGACCAUGAAUGUGAGGCCAAUAUAGGCCAAGGCCUGGUAUGUUUUACCAGCAUGGAAAGACUCUUAGGCCAGGUGAAAGACCCUCAUGAACCAGGAGCCAAUCUGGUUAACUAUAGCCUGCUUCUCUGGAGAAGAAGAAACACAAUCAUCAGAAGGCUGACACUAAAACAUGUGAAACAGAUACAAGCACAACAUGGCUUUUAGUAUUGUUCAUGUGGUUGGUUCUCUUCGACUUCUCAAGGGGUAAAAUGGGUAAAAAGUUGUUACCAAGAAGCAGACGGUACUCAUACUAUCCAAAAGUUCACCCUUUUAGUUCUGAUAUUCUCCUGUUUGUUCUUUAUGGAUGUAAAGCAUGGAACACUAUAAUGCCAACAGAAAGAUAACCAAUGGGUGCAAGUAGGCCUCAGCAUUUAAACAGUAAUGACAUGCAUGGAAUGAGGGAUGUAAAAGUCAUCAUCACGUACACUUUGGACAGGCAGAGAAGGUGGUAUCAUCAUGUAGCAGAAAUGCUGUAUGACAUAUGAGAAGUUUCAGCUAGAUAACAUUAGGAGAAAAAAAAAAACAAAGGCUUCCCUCCCAUUUGGCAGAUACUCUGUGUGACAUUUACAGAAUGAUAUAGACAAAAGUCAUACAGGAUGAUGACUUGUGCAGGGGUUGUGAUCUGUACCAGUGAAGGGAAUAGCCACAUCAUUAAUAAAGACCCAUCCAAGUAUCCA